rnacentral:rRNA from 1 species
UACGAAGGGGGCUAGCGUUGCUCGGAAUCACUGGGCGUAAAGGGUGCGUAGGCGGGUCUUUUAAGUCAGGGGUGAAAUCCUGGAGCUCAACUCCAGAACUGCCUUUGAUACUGAAGAUCUUGAGUUCGGGAGAGGUGAGUGGAACUGCGAGUGUAGAGGUGAAAUUCGUAGAUAUUCGCAAGAACACCAGUGGCGAAGGCGGCUCACUGGCCCGAUAGUACGCUGAGGUGCGAAAGCGUGGGGAGCAAACAGG